rnacentral:rRNA from 1 species
AUUGAACGCUGGCGGCAGGCUUAACACAUGCAAGUCGAGCGGGGUGAUGGUGCUUGCACUAUCACUUAGCGGCGGACGGGUGAGUAAUGCUUAGGAAUCUGCCUAUUAGUGGGGGACAACAUCUCGAAAGGGAUGCUAAUACCGCAUACGUCCUACGGGAGAAAGCAGGGGAUCACUUGUGACCUUGCGCUAAUAGAUGAGCCUCAGUCGGAUUAGCUAGUUGGUGGGGUAAAGGCCUACCAAGGCGACGAUCUGUAGCGGGUCUGAGAGGAUGAUCCGCCACACUGGGACUGAGACACGACCCAGACUCCUACGGGAGGUAGCAGUGGGGAAUAUUGGACAAUGGGGGGAACCCUGAUCCAGCCAUGCCGCGUGUGUGAAGAAGGCCUUAUGGUUGUAAAGCACUUUAAGCGAGGAGGAGGCUCUUUUGGUUAAUACCCAAGAUGAGUGGACGUUACUCGCAGAAUAAGCACCGGCUAACUCUGUGCCAGCCGCCGCGGUAAGAC